AUAAGAAUGCAAAAUAUACACAAAGCAUGGGAAAUAUGCCAACUCUCAGUAAAAAAGAUUGUUACUUUUCAGUAGUUAUCUUACAUUGAUGAAAUGCUCAACUUGUAGGGUAUUUAAGAGCAACAGCAGUGGCACUCUGUCCUACGGUCCAAACAAGGCAAAAGGCAUGUCCAUCCUCCUAUCGUAACAAGAACAAUUUGUUCUAAUGCGCCAUGGCAGCAGUUGCAGCAGCGGCAGCAGCAGAUGCUGGAGCCAUCGCAACGAGAAGCUGGAGAUGCAUAGAAAAAGGAAAGGGCAGCCACUGAACACGCAAUGGCCAGAACAAAUGUAGACAUUAAGCUGCUGCUGCUGGCUGUGGCCAAGCCGACCGCAAACGGAGCAUGGAACGCAGACAGGGCGCACCUUAACAUCGAGUGACACGCAAUGGACAAACGCCAACGCCAACCAGCCAACCAGCAGUUGGCCACAAUAAAAAUCACUUUUUCCCAGCAGAUACUUACGGGCAUUUCAAUAAAUUCGCUGCAGAAUUUUCAUUAAUCGGCAUCUAGUGGGGGAGCCUCACAAGUGCCUCGGGUGGACAGCAACAGCAGGUGGAACGGCUAAUGCUGAGGAUGCUGCCACUGCCAGUUGUACCAUGGCCAUAAAAAUAUUUGCCGCCUUAAUGUGAGUGGCUUAUAAAUUUGCACAAACGCGACCAUAUAUAGCAUUUAAGCACUGGGCCCAUGGGGGCAGGGGCAGUCAACAGAUCGCAGACCACCAUCCACUACCAAUGCCGUGACAGUUGUACAUAACUGUUAUUGUGGUUAGCUCGUUGGCUCUGGACAGUUUUUUUCCGAGUUGAUAAGGGGACGUCUUUUUGCUUUUUUCCUCCGAAUUCUUUGCUUAUAAACGUAAGCCGUUUCUUCUAAAACUGAAAUUGCUUUAUUAUUGUUCGAAUUUCAAAUACGUCAAAUUGUUAGCUUUCUUUGCGAUUUUAAUAAAUCAACCCCCUCACAACCGA